AACAAUGUGGGCAUAUUAUAUAUAUAUUUUUAGAAUGAACUUAAAAAAUAAUAAACUCUAACUCCACUUUUGGCACUAAUUUCUUGAUUGCUAACAUGAUGCAUUUCUGCAAGAAGAGCUCAUUUCACAAUCUUUGAGGACAUUAUGUGUCUAAGACAAACCUGCAGGUGCUGUUGAGAACAGCAGAGCCAGCUGGAGGCUCUGGGAGGAAUUCCAUCUGGAAGAAAACAUGGUGUGUCCAGAGGGCAGAGUGGUGUGGUGGAGUCGGUGCUGGAGAUGAUGUGUGUACAAGAGCAGGACUCUGGACGGAGGCAGGGAUCUGGGCCAGCACAACAUGGAGAGGCUGAAGCUUCCUGGAGUGACCAGCAGGCAGGAGUAAGGGCCAGGUCCCUGAAAUCUAUGGAAGGAGAUUUUACUGGUGUGUCCACCUCCUCCUGGCCAGGCCACAGCUUUCUCAGCAGGUCCGGGUGGGGCCCGCAUACAUCUCAGAAAGUUCAGAAAUUCUCAGAAAGUUCUCGGAGUCUUCCCACACGUGUGUCCGUUGGAGACCCACCCGACCAGAAUGACGUCCAGCAGGACUCUUUCCAGGGGAGGGGCGGGUAAGUGGCUUCCAAAAUGUCUCAGAGGUUCAGAAAAACAACACCGAAGCAGUGACUCAGUGCUUGGGUUGUGCACAUUCUUCCCCAGUGAGGCCGGGCCCCACCAGAGCUCCUGCUCUGCGCCACAUCUGCCCCCCCCAUGCGAGCCACCCCCUCCACAUCGGGGAGGGAUGUUUUCACGUUCCCUGGCCGGCCCGGGCCUUCUGAAGGGUCAUUUGAACCUGAGUGGUGCAGUGAAGGAAAAAUAGCCGAUGGGAUGACAAAUGGGCUUGAUUUCAAAGCAAUGUGUUUGCAGACGGAGGCAGGGAGGUCCUCCUGCCCCGGCUUUGCUUGGAGUGCUGAGUCAUGACCGCUGGCUCAGCAGUAUUGCACAAUCGGCC
rnacentral:lncRNA from 1 species